GAGUGAGAGCUGUCCUGGCUACGAUGAACGCUGGCGGCGUGCCUAACACAUGCAAGUCGAACGGAGUUAUUAUUAUGAAGUUUUCGGAUGGAUUAAUAAUAACUUAGUGGCGGACGGGUGAGUAACGCGUGGGUAACCUGCCUCACACAGGGGGAUAACAGUUGGAAACGGCUGCUAAAACCGCAUAAGCAUACAUUGUCGCAUGACAGAGUGUGAAAAUAUUUAUAGGUGAGAGAUGGGCCCGCGUCUGAUUAGCUAGUUGGUAGGGUAACGGCCUACCAAGGCGACGAUCAGUAGCCGGCUUGAGAGAGUGACCGGCCACAUUGGGACUGAGACACGGCCCAGACUCCUACGGGAGGCAGCAGUGAGGAAUUUUCCGCAAUGGGCGCAAGCCUGACGGAGCGACGCCGCGUGAGGGAUGAAGGCUUUCGGGUUGUAAACCUCUUUUGCUUGGGAAAAAGGUCCGCGUGCUCAUACCACGUGGAUUUGAUGGUACUAAGCGAAUAAGCCCCGGCUAACUACGUGCCAGCAGCCGCGGUAAUUC
rnacentral:rRNA from 1 species